AUUUAAACAAAAAGUAAAAUCGAGAUUCAUCGAGAGUGGAGCAGUAUUAUUUUAUAUAUACCUCAAAUUACUUGAAAAAUCUGUUGCACCAACUCCAAAAUUACUUUAACUAACGACUACUGCUUAACCCACCCACUAAUUUCUUCUGUAUAAAAUAUUGAGACGCCAUUCUUUUCAAUCAGUCAACUUUUUGUUGGAGUAUAUUCUACACCAGUCAAUUAAUAUUCCUCUAAAAAUUUCUAUUCAACCUCACCAACCAAUUAUACUAUGUCAAGUAUGUUGGGUUCACAAGGCUUCGUAUUGGCGACAGCCAUGGCGGUAUCUGCCGGCACCGUAA
rnacentral:misc_RNA from 1 species